rnacentral:rRNA from 1 species
GCACGGAGUUAGACGGGGCUUCUUUUUCGAGUCUUGUCAUUAUCUCUUCUCGACGAAAGGGCUUUACAACCUAAUUAGCCUUCGUCUCACCCACUCGGUAUUGCUGGAUCAAGCUUUCGCUCAUUGUCCAAGAUUCCUCACUGCUGCCUCCCGUGGGAGUCUGGGCCGUAUCUCAGUCCCAGUGUGGCCGAUCACCCAAAAAGGCCGGCUACGGAUCGCAGGCUUGGUAAGCCAUUCCCUUACCAACAACCUAAUCCGGCGCAAGCUCAUCAAGCAGCGCUGCUUACAAACUAUUUUCUUGUACAUGCUCGAGUUGUUGAGCGGAGCGGGACGCUUCGCCCACCAAUUUGUUUAUAAGAAAGCUUUUUUCUUCUUGAAUCAAGAAGGAUAGGGGGGAUUGACCCCGUCUGCUUGGUAGAUUCUCACGCGUUUCUCACCCGUUCGCCACCCCGUACCUGUAAAACCUUGUGCAUAAGCAUAAAGCAAGAAGGCACAGCGUACGACUUGCAUGUGUUAGGCAUACCGCCAGCGUUCAUU